AUACGGAGGGUGCGAGCGUUAAUCGGAAUUACUGGGCGUAAAGCGUACGUAGGCGGCUUGAUAAGUCGGAUGUGAAAGCCCCGGGCUUAACCUGGGAAUUGCAUUCGAUACUGUCAGGCUAGAGUAUGUCAGAGGUUGGCGGAAUUCCUAGUGUAGCGGUGAAAUGCGUAGAUAUCAGGAGGAACACCAGUGGCGAAGGCGGCUAACUGGGGCAAUACUGACGCUGAGGCACGAAAGCGUGGGGAGCAAACAGGAUUAGAAACCCCAGUAGUCC
rnacentral:rRNA from 1 species